CUACGGGGGGCAGCAGUGAGGAAUAUUGCACAAUGGGGGGAACCCUGAUGCAGAAACGCCGCGUGGAGGAUGACGCAUUUCGGUGUGUAAACUCCUUUUAUAUGUCAAGAAAAUGACGGUAGCAUAUGAAUAAGCACCGGCUAACUCCGUGCCAGCAGCCGCGGUAAUACGGAGGGUGCAAGCGUUACUCGGAAUCACUGGGCGUAAAGGACGCGUAGGCGGGUUGGAAAGUCAGGUGUGAAAUCCUACAGCUUAACUGUAGAACUGCACUUGAAACUUCUAAUCUAGAGUAUGGGAGGGGGAGAUGGAAUUCGUGGUGUAGGGGUAAAAUCCGUAGAUAUCACUAGGAAUACCUAAAGCGAAGGCGAUCUCCUGGAACAUUACUGACGCUAAGGCGUGAAAGCGUGGGGAGCAAACAGGAUUAGAUACCCUAGUAGUC
rnacentral:rRNA from 1 species